GAUGAACGCUGGCGGUAUGCUUAACACAUGCAAGUCGAACGGUACCUUCGGGUAUAGUGGCGGACGGGUGAGUAACGCGUGAGAAUCUGUCUUCAGGUCGGGGACAACAGUUAGAAAUGACUGCUAAUACCGGAUGUGCCGAGAGAUAAAAGAUUUAUUGCCUGAAAGAGAGCUCGCGUCAGAUUAGCUAGUAGGUGGUGUAAGAGACUACCUAGGCGACGAUCUGUAGCUGGUCUGAGGGGACGAUCAGCCACACUGGAACUGAGACACGGUCCAGACUCCUACGGGAGGCAGCAGUGGGGGAAUUUUCCGCAAUGGGCGAAAGCCUGACGGAGCAAUACCGCGUGAGGGACGAAGGCUUUUGGGUCGUAAACCUCUUUUAUUAGGGAAGAUUUCGGGACGGUACCUAAUGAAUAAGCAUCGGCUAACUCUGUGCCAGCAGCCGCGGUAAU
rnacentral:rRNA from 1 species